GUGGGGAAUCUUCCACAAUGGACGAAAGUCUGAUGGAGCAACGCCGUGUGAGGGAAGAAGGCUUUCGGGUCGUAAACCUCUGUCAGAAAGGAAGAACCUCCCAAGUCCGAAUAGGGCUUGGGACUGACGGUACUUUCAAAGGAAGCACCGGCUAACUCCGUGCCAGCAGCCGCGGUAAUACGGAGGGUGCAAGCGUUAAUCGGAAUCACUGGGCGUAAAGCGCGCAUAGGCCGCUUUGUAAGUCGGACGUGAAAGCCCUCGGCUCAACCGGGGAACUGCGUUCGAUACUGCGAGGCUUGAGUCCUGGAGAGGGUGGCGGAAUUCCGGGUGUAGGAGUGAAAUCCGUAGAUAUCCGGAGGAACACCGGUGGCGAAGGCGGCCACCUGGACAGGUACUGACGCUGAGGCGCGAAAGCGUGGGGAGCAAACAGGAUUAGAAACCCCUGUAGUCC
rnacentral:rRNA from 1 species